rnacentral:tRNA from 1 species
ACAUUAGUGGUUCAGUGGUAGAAUUCUCACCUUCUCUUUGAGAGAGCUGGGUUCGAUUCCUGGCCAAUGCA